rnacentral:rRNA from 1 species
AUUGAACGCUGGCGGCAUGCUUUACACAUGCAAGUCGAACGGCAGCGGGGUAGUGCUUGCACUACUGCCGGCGAGUGGCGAACGGGUGAGAAAUAUAUCGGAACGUACCGAGUAAUGGGGGAUAACCAAUCGAAAGAUUGGCUAAUACCGCAUACGUCCUGAGGGAGAAAGCGGGGGAUCGCAAGACCUCGCGUUAUUCGAGCGGCCGAUAACUGAUUAGCUAGUUGGUGGGGUAAAGGCCUACCAAGGCGACGAUCAGUAGCGGGUCUGAGAGGACGAUCCGCCACACGGGGACUGAGACACGGCCCAGACUCCUACGGGAGGCAGCAGUGGGGAAUUUUGGACAAUGGGGGCAACCCUGAUCCAGCCAUGCCGCGUGUAUGAAGAAGGCCUUCGGGUUGUAAAGUACUUUUGUUAGGGAAGAAAAGGGAAGUGCUAAUACCACUUUUUGCUGACGGUACCUAAAGAAUAAGCACCGGCUAACUACGUG